rnacentral:rRNA from 1 species
UUCCUACGGGUGGCUGCAGUGGGGAAUUUUGGACAAUGGGCGCAAGCCUGAUCCAGCAAUGCCGCGUGCAGGAAGAAGGCCUUCGGGUUGUAAACUGCUUUUGUACGGAACGAAACGGUCCUGGUUAAUACCUGGGGCUAAUGACGGUACCGUAAGAAUAAGCACCGGCUAACUACGUGCCAGCAGCCGCGGUAAUACGUAGGGUGCAAGCGUUAAUCGGAAUUACUGGGCGUAAAGCGUGCGCAGGCGGUUUUGUAAGACAGGCGUGAAAUCCCCGGGCUCAACCUGGGAAUUGCGCUGGUGACUGCAAGGCUGGAGUGCGGCAGAGGGGGAUGGAAUUCCGCGUGUAGCAGUGAAAUGCGUAGAUAUGCGGAGGAACACCGAUGGCGAAGGCAAUCCCCUGGGCCUGCACUGACGCUCAUGCACGAAAGCGUGGGGAGCAAACAGGAUUAGAUACCCUAGUAGUCCCC